AUAGACCUAGGCAAUAAUAUCUCAUAUGAGUUAGACUUUAGCAGCGAUUCAGAUUGGGAUCAAACUGAAGAGGAAAUGCGGCCGAAAUCGAAGCGAAGAAAGGGAGAAAAUGGUCCUAUUCUAUCAAAUGGCAAUUUAAAAUUUAAAUUAAAGGCUAGUUUCUACGCUAAAAACUUCAAAGGUCAAAGGAAUGGAGAUAAAGUCGGAUCGAUCAGCAUCGAAGCUGAUGCAUGUGAUGAAGUGGUUGAUGAAAUUUGGUCGUUUGGUGCCAAAUUUUUAAACUAUGAGGCUAUUUUAUCCGUAUCCGAAGAUAGUACGGAAAUAUCAAUUAGCUUCAGUGAUAGGAAACCAACGUUUGAUGAUAUUGACAAAUUUGUAGUGAUAUCUGAUCCUGUAUCCAAGCGCUAUUUUCUACCAUCAGUAAUAAAUACCAAAUUGCUACGCGGGUGGAUGGAUCGUGAAAUCGCAGUUAUCAUCUACCGGUUCUCGCAAUCUGUAACAACAUCUCACUUAUGGGGAAAGGUUAAAUCUAAACUUUUUCA